rnacentral:lncRNA from 1 species
AUCACAUGUAGAUGGUACAGAUACAUGAAGAGUCAGUGCACAGCUUUGCUUCCUUCCAGACAACAUUUCCAUCAAUAAAAGUACAAUCUAUGUGCUUUUGAAGGCAGUUUGUCACAUUCAGUGCUGCAGGCUCCUCCUCGUGAACUUUGGAACAGUUUUUUUUUUUCAUCUUUCUGUUUUCUGAACGGUCACACUUUCACUCCUCAACUCAUCACAGAAAUAUGUUUGAUGCCUGGAUCUUAUUGUUCCUUCCCCUGUUAGGGGCGAGGGCCUUCAUGAUCCACAACACCCAGCGCAGCUUGUGUCUGGAGGACUCAGCAGCUACAGGUGAAGUCCUGUUAAAGAACUGCAACCUGGACUCAGAGUCUCAGCAGUGGAUCUGGGUUGAUCAGGGCAUGCUGAUGUGUGUUGUAUCGUCCAGAUGUCUGUCAGCCCUGCAGAGAGAGCCUGUCCGGACUCAGUCCUGCUGGGGUCCGGAGGUGGAUGUGACAGGGUUAAUGUGGGACUGUGACAGGGGCAGACUGAUCAACAGGAACACCUCAAUGCUGCUGUCAGUAGAUGGCUGGCGUCUGGAUCUCACACAUGACAGCAAACACUCAAAGUGGAGAUCUCUGGAUGAAGGGGACAUCUGCCACGAAAAACUCAGAUCCAGGAGAGCAUCUAAACAUCCAGAAGAGUUUGAGGCUGCAGAGGAGCAGACAGGCGACAUGACGGAGGAUGAGAGAGAAUACCUUCGCUGGUUCUAUCGCACAGAAAACCCAACCACAUGGAAGUUUGUGCUGCUGGGACUGGCCUUCGUCUGCCUUCUUGUUGGUUUUCUGCUGCUGGGAAUGGGAGCCAUGGCCAACAAGAACAGAAAGAAGAUUGCAAAGUACAAAGCAGCUGCUGUGGCUCAGAAAAGUGAGGAGCUGCAGAUCAUUGCACCACUCAGAGAUGUCAGCAACAGCAGACCAUCAGAGUCACUGGACAGGCUGAUGCAGGGAAACCAGCCCCCCCCACCAAACGGGGAGGUGAGCGAGCUCAAAGCAGGAAACAUCCUGGUCACAUGGAAAGACGGCAACACCUCCUGCCUGUACUCAGAUCCUGCAGCAGAGGAGGAGGAUCAGGAGAAGAAACAGGAGGAGGUGUCAGCUGAUGAGGCGAUGGAGUGAAGAGUUUCCAACAGCAGGUGUUAUUAAGCUCAGCCUGUAGGGUUAGGGUCUCUUUUUUUUACAUUCAAAGAUUCUAUUGAGGUUUUUGUAUAAAUUAAGCUUUGAAUGUCUGUCAUCAUAUUUUAUGGCAUCACCCUAAAAGAAGAAAACAUCCUCAAACAAAAUAAAGUGAUUGAUCGAAUGAAAUUACUUUGUCUUUUU